rnacentral:rRNA from 1 species
UACAGAGGUCCCAAGCGUUGUUCGGAUUCACUGGGCGUAAAGGGUGCGUAGGCGGUCGGGUAAGUCUGAUGUGAAAUCUCACAGCUUAACUGUGAAACUGCAUUGGAUACUAUUCGGCUUGAGAGUUGGAGGGGGGACUGGAAUUCUUGGUGUAGCAGUGAAAUGCGUAGAUAUCAAGAGGAACACCAGUGGCGAAGGCGAGUCCCUGGACAACUUCUGACGCUGAGGCACGGAAGCUAGGGGAGCGAACAGG